rnacentral:rRNA from 2 species
CUAUACAUGCAGUCGAGCGGACCUUUUAAAGCUUGCUUUUGAAAGGUCAGCGGCGGACGGGUGAGUAACACGUGGGCAACCUGCCUGUAAGACUGGGAUAACUUCGGGAAACCGGAGCUAAUACCGGAUAAUAUAAGGAACCUCCUGGUUCUUUAUUGAAAGAUGGUUUCGGCUAUCACUUACAGAUGGGCCCGCGGCGCAUUAGCUAGUUGGUGAGGUAAUGGCUCACCAAGGCGACGAUGCGUAGCCGACCUGAGAGGGUGAUCGGCCACACUGGGACUGAGACACGGCCCAGACUCCUACGGGAGGCAGCAGUAGGGAAUCUUCCACAAUGGACGAAAGUCUGAUGGAGCAACGCCGCGUGAGCGAUGAAGGCCUUCGGGUCGUAAAGCUCUGUUGUUAGGGAAGAACAAGUGCGAGAGUAACUGCUCGCACCUUGACGGUACCUAACCAGAAAGCCACGGCUAACUACGUGCCAGCAGCCGCGGUAAUACGUAGGUGGCAAGCGUUGUCCGGAAUUAUUGGGCGUAAAGCGCGCGCAGGUGGUCCUUUAAGUCUGAUGUGAAAGCCCACGGCUCAACCGUGGAGGGUCAUUGGAAA